CUAGGAUUACCUAUUCCAAGUCUGUAAUGGAGUCUGUGCCAGAUGACAGAACAUGAGCCGACUGCUGACAGACAUGGGGACCUCAGACACACGCUUUUUGGGCAAGGUUAAGGAACUUGGACAGCGUCUGGGCAGAACAGUCCUCAGAAGAGCUCAGCUGAAGGAACAGGAAAGCUGGCUGGAUGCCUUCAGGAUCCUGUGCCCCCAGAGGACCCAGGAGACAACACUGGGAGCCCCUCAGCGGAGCAUGGCACUAAGACUUCCUGCAAAGUGCUCAUUCUUGGGGAGCCUCCACUUUCUCACUGUGAAAUGGGAAGACAUGGCUGUCCUGCCCACCCCCUGGAGCUUCUCUGAAGAGUGAUGUAAGCUACCAAACAAGAAAAGUAUUUAACAAACAGCGUAGC